rnacentral:rRNA from 1 species
UCCAGAGGUCUCAAGCGUUGUUCGGAUUCAUUGGGCGUAAAGGGUGUGUAGGUGGCGCGCUAAGUCGGGUGUGAAAUUUCGGAGCUUAACUCCGAAACUGCAUUCGAUACUGGCGUGCUUGAGGACUGGAGAGGAGACUGGAAUUUACGGUGUAGCGGUGAAAUGCGUAGAUAUCGUAAGGAAGACCAGUGGCGAAGGCGGGUCUCUGGACAGUUCCUGACGCUGAGGCACGAAGGCCAGGGGAGCAAACGGG